AUAGGAUUUGCAAUUUUUCAACUACAUAUUUUAUCAAUUUUUAUGAAAAUCUACUAAAAUCUUAUUUUCCAAAGUUUGAGCAAUUUUCACCAUAGUUCUCAAAUUUUUGUUGCUUAAUUCAGCAUACAUUUCAAGAUAUAACCCUAUUAUGCCUUGAUGCACUAAUAUCUUCAUCGCCUCAGAUCACGAACUAGAAAUUUUCAUCUUCCUUUCCUCUCAGCAGAUAAUUGAUGUGAGCGUUGUAUUUCGAACAUCAAUGUAUUCAAGCUAGCCCUUAAACCAGCAGCUUCUCUUUGAUUGGCCCAAGCCUCUAACUACAAAAGAAGAAAGAAGAGAACUGAUAAGAAGGGUGCUUGACGUCUAAAAGGAG
rnacentral:lncRNA from 1 species